rnacentral:rRNA from 1 species
GUGGGGAAUAUUGGACAAUGGGCGAAAGCCUGAUCCAGCCAUGCCGCGUGUGUGAAGAAGGUCUUCGGAUUGUAAAGCACUUUAAGUUGGGAGGAAGGGUAGUAACUUAAUACGUUGCUACUUUGACGUUACCGACAGAAUAAGCACCGGCUAACUUCGUGCCAGCAGCCGCGGUAAUACGAAGGGUGCAAGCGUUAAUCGGAAUUACUGGGCGUAAAGCGCGCGUAGGUGGUUCAGUAAGUUGGAAGUGAAAUCCCCGGGCUCAACCUGGGAACUGCCUCCAAAACUGCAUGACUAGAGUACGGUAGAGGGUAGUGGAAUUUCCUGUGUAGCGGUGAAAUGCGUAGAUAUAGGAAGGAACACCAGUGGCGAAGGCGACUACCUGGACUGAUACUGACACUGAGGUGCGAAAGCGUGGGGAGCAAACAGGAUUAGAUACCCUAGUAGUCC